GGCAGCAGUGAGGAAUAUUGGUCAAUGGGCGUAAGCCUGAACCAGCCAAGUAGCGUGAAGGAUGACUGCCCUAUGGGUUGUAAACUUCUUUUAUUAGGGAAUAAAGUGCACCACGUGUGGUGUUUUGUAUGUACCUUUUGAAUAAGGAUCGGCUAACUCCGUGCCAGCAGCCGCGGUAAUACGGAGGAUCCGAGCGUUAUCCGGAUUUAUUGGGUUUAAAGGGUGCGUAGGCGGAUAUUUAAGUCAGCUGUGAAAGUUUGGGGCUCAACCUUAAAAUUGCAGUUGAUACUGGAUAUCUUGAGUAUAGUGGAGGUUAGCGGAAUUCGUGGUGUAGCGGUGAAAUGCUUAGAUAUCACGAAGAACUCCUAUUGCGAAGGCAGCUGACUAUCCUAUAACUGACGCUGAUGCACGAAAGUGUGGGUAUCAAACAGGAUUAGAUACCCUGGUAGUCCACACAGUAAACGAUGAAUACUCGUUGUUUGCGAUAUACAGCAAGCGACC
rnacentral:rRNA from 1 species